UGGGGAAUAUUGCACAAUGGGGGAAACCCUGAUGCAGCGACGCCGCGUGAGUGAAGAAGUAUUUCGGUAUGUAAAGCUCUAUCAGCAAGGAAGAUAAUGACGGUACUUGACUAAGAAGCCCCGGCUAACUACGUGCCAGCAGCCGCGGUAAUACGUAGGGGGCAAGCGUUAUCCGGAUUUACUGGGUGUAAAGGGAGCGUAGGCGGCAAGACAAGUCUGAUGUGAAAGCCCGGGGCUCAACCCCGGGACUGCAUUGGAAACUGUUUAGCUAGAGUGUCGGAGAGGUAAGUGGAAUUCCUAGUGUAGCGGUGAAAUGCGUAGAUAUAUGGAGGAACACCAGUGGCGAAGGCGACUUUCUGGUCUGUAACUGACGCUGAGGCUCGAAAGCAUGGGGAGCAAACAGG
rnacentral:rRNA from 1 species